CUGAACUCUUUCUCAGUUGUAUUUAAAACGCAUUCAGAAUUGCAGGAGAAGAAAUAGCAAGCUGUCUGAAAAAGGGGUUCAGUGGCAGAACUGUGAUGACCUGUGGAGAGUAGCGGAGAUGGGAAUAGCACUGUGGCCUUCCUGUAGGGUCUGCACAGAUGUGCUGGGAACACCCUGAUCUCAGCAUCCCCAUUUUCAGAUGCUGUUUUGUUUCCACUUGUGGUUGGCUCUGCCGGUGCACACGGCCACCUAGAAUUCCAGCUGCUGAGAGAAAAACCCUGGAUUCAAGCUGAAGGAGGAAAUAAUGUUUGCUAAGGCAGGACAGAUUUCCGGUGAAAUGGUGCCGAAGCUGUCUACCUCCUGCAACUCCUCACUUGGCUGUGAAAACAGCAGAACUCCACAUCUCACAUCUGGCCAGCGUGAAAAGCACGGGGAUGCACAAGUCUGCCCCCGGAAGUGGCUGAGAGGCUGGUGCUCAUGCGCAGAGAGCUUCCCUGCAAAACCUCACAGAUUGCUUCUUGGCCCACCGCUCCCUCUUCUCUUGGGCAGCUCAGACUGCUUCCGUCCAGUGUGGCUGGUAGCCGGGGAUGGAAGGUUAUCCUGGUCUCACUGGUACCAUUCCCCGUAACCACCACAGGGGGCAGUAUUCUUACUUCUGCAGUUUACAGAGGAGGAAACAGAUUUCAAGAGGUAAGAGCUAACAAGGAAUUCAGUCAGAAACAAAACCAGUACUCCUAAGUCUAUGAUUUUUAAAUUUUAAUCCCUGGCCACAUUACUUCUCAGAGGUUAAAAAUGGCCACAGUUUACCAACAUCUGGUAACAUCUGAAUGUGACUGUUCAACAAGAUAAGGCAGAAUUUAAUAGGAAAACACAGUUGUCCUUAUUAACUCAUUUAUACUUAGGGCUCCAUUUUUGGAAUACCACAAACAGUGGAAGAUAAUAAAAGUGCUCCUUUCAAAAUCUUGUUCCUUUAGUUUUUCAAGGUAGCAUAUAUGAAUUUCACCCCCAAAACUGAAAAAAUUGCAACCUUUGGCCUAAAUGGGUUAAGAACCUCAGAUUCAAACAGAGUGAUUCAUCUCUAAAUUUACCUAAAUAGUAAAAUGAGGUGGUUUGCGAUUUUUGUCUAUUGUCAAUAUAAAUUUCCACAACAUCUUUAAAAUAAAGAACAAAAUUGGCUUACUCUAUAUUAACAACUCCCAAGUUCCUGUAGUUUAAGGCAACACUGGAUUAUUUCUUGGUCCUGCUACCUGUCUACUUCAAGUCAGUGGAGUUGACUCCUGAGGACAGUGACUUGGAAGCCCAAACUGCCAUGGUCAGUGUAAUUUGUCUGCUUCAUGAUAAUACAAGGAAAUCCCUGCAGCAAUUAGCUUAUAAAGAGAAAAGGUUUAUGACAGAAGGAUGUGGUAGAGCCGAAUGCCAAAAUCCUAAGCCAGGAAGCAGAAAGACACUGAGACUGGGUCCCACGAUACUCUCUAUGGGCAACUCCAAGGACCUAACUUUCUUCCACUAAGCCCUGCUUCCUAAAGGUUUUGCUACUUCCCAGUGGCACCAUAGGCUGGUCACCUACAAUGAACACAUGGACAUGGGGGGCACUCAUCCAAAUCAUUGUUGCUGGCCAUUGUCUCAGAGUUUGUCAGUUGCCUGCCAGAGGGAGUAGGGAGGUCUUUGGGGACCCUGUAUUUUGCCAUCCACUCAUAUCCAAGGCGAGUCAUCAGGCAGAACAAGCUACGUAGCACCUCCAACCGUAAAGAGGCUCAGAUGUACAGAAUGGUGCUGUGUAUACAGAAGGGGAGAGAUGGAAAUACUUGGCUAACAACAAUGAUAGUUGCUCACACAGAGAAACUGCAAUUGUUGCAAAUUAUUAUCCUCUCUUUAUUCCCACGA
ensembl:lincRNA